rnacentral:lncRNA from 1 species
AUUCCUCUCUGUGUGUGUGUGUGUGUUAAAACUUUAAUUUCCAUGUGCAUUUUUUUUUUAAAUCGUGAGUAAUUUUCUAAAAUUAGUACUUUCAGCUCCUAUAAUUUGGUAGAGUUUGUAUUGUGGGGCCUACGUGUAACAAAAUGAAUUGACCAUCAUCUCAUAAUUUAUGCUUGCAUAAUUUUAUUAUAAAGCAAAGUUUAAAAUCAACAUGUAUAUUCACCAAAUUAAAUUUCAACACCAAAUACUAAAUUAGGAUUGGGAAAAAUAUUCAAAUCAGGAAUUCACCUUCAAAUUGUUUUAUCGCUCGUCCAAUUUUUUUUUUUUUAAUCCAGAACGUUUUAUCAUUUUUCAAAGAUCACAUAUUGGUAGGAGUAUUCACUCGAGGAGGAAAAUUGAAAGGCGGAAAAAACAAUGUAGACAAAGAGUUAAAAGAAAGAGUAAUAACUUUAGCAGUGUACUGAAACACACUAAAUAGACACACAGUCGCCGAUCACUCUAUCAAUGUUUCAAUGCUCUAUCUCAAUCUACUUUCUUUCUUCAUAGUUAAAGCUAUAACUAAUUAAAUCUACAUUUGUUUUAGUUAAUUAGUUUCCUAAUAGGGAGGAAUUUAACAUUGUAUAUCUUCGUUUUAUUUUCUGGGUAUUAUCUAAUAUUAUGUCCAUUGCCAUUUUAUUUUCAUUAAACACAUAAAAAUGCAAUAAAUUAAAUGAUUUGGAUGUAUCUUGUACUUGAAUCAAAUUAUAAAGAAAAGAAUGCUAUCUGAAUCUAUUUCGUCAGCCAAGUAAUUAGAAGCCAUUUUAUUGUUAUUAUAAAUAGAAAAUAUGAAUAAAAAUGAAAUUCUAAUUAAUUAAGUUUUAUGAUAAGACAAUGUGUUAAAUAGAAAAUGGAAAUCUCCAUUGGAUUUCUUGAUAUAUUUUUGGGUUAGUAAAAUCAUUGAUAGCAUAGAGUGCCUCUUCGUAGAAAUACCUUAGUUUGUAGAUUAGUUGAUCUCUAAUUGUAGCUUGGAGACAUCUAAAGAAACCUCCUUAGUAAAAUUUAUUGAUAUCAAUUUUUUAAAUCAUUUUUAUCAGUCAAACAUUGAAGUACAAUAAAUGUUAAUGUUUUGUUUAUGAUGCCUUCUCCUAUGAUCUAUUUGCUUGGACUUAACUCUGUUUGUUUUUAUGUAGCGUCAGGGAUGUCAAUUGGGCUCGCCGGCUCGGGCAGCCCGUGGUUCGGCCCGGAAAAAAUCCGAGCCGACUUGGCUUGAGGCUCGGGUCAAUCCCCAUUUUAAGGUUUGCCCGUGCUUGAGCCUUUUUUGAAAAGAAAAAAAAAAAGAGAGAAAAAAGGCAGCGCUUGCUGCCUUAUUUUAACAAGUAAGGCAGCUGACUGCUACCUUAAGAAAGGCAGCAAUGCUAAUGUAUAAAAAAAAAAUGUGGAAAUUACAUAAAAUCCUACCUUUAAAAAUCUCAUUUCUUAAAUCAUAUGCUAAGUUUAUUUAUACAAAAAUCAGAUGAUAAUAUAAUUUUUAAAUAAUAAUAAUAAUAAUUUUAUAAAAAAAAUAAAUUGUAUUACAACUCCACGUCUCCACCACAACCCAUUCCAACUCAAACCCUACCCUGAAUCAUAUUUCAUUUCCCCCUAUUCGCAAUAUCCAUCCUCUCUGUCUAUCGCCGCCGUGAGAAGCACCUGUGAGAAAACCCACCAUCGAAAGCCACAACAGCAGCACCGUGAGAAGUCAUAGAAGCAACAUCCACACCGGGGCGAUGACUGCACUGUUGUAUUCAGCGUUGCUGCAGCAAUUGCGGGCGGCCCUGUGCUCAUCCCUUAGUGAUUUUGCGAUUUUUUUGUGGAUGGUGUUUGGUGGUGAAUGUGGUGUGGUGUGGUGUGGUGGUUGCGUGGUGGUGGCGAAUCUGAGCUGUUGGAUUCGUCAAAAUGGGUGGUGGCUAUGAUAGUUUUUUGCGACGUCUUAGAUUUGGUGAUGGUGACUACGACUUAGAUCUGGUGGUGGUGGUGGCGACGACUCUGUUGUGUUGUUGGUGGCUCUGUUCAGUGGUGGCUGUUCCGGUGACGGCGUUGCUCUAUUGUGGUGGUUAAUCUGUUGAUCUGUUGGGCUUGAUCAGUUUUGUCGUAAGGUAGUGGUGGUUGAUGUGGCGAAAGUGCUCUGUUGUGGUGGUGAGUCUGUUGGUGUACUGUGGUGUUGAUAGGUUGUCUUGAGGUGGUGGUGGCUCUGUUGGCGAAGGCUCUAUUGUGGUGGUGGCGGUAAUGGUGAUAGAGAUGGUCGAGACGGUGGUCGUGGAUGGGAUGAGAUGGGUUUGGAUGCUUGUGACCAUGGUGCGUGGCGGCGAUAAUUUGGGGCGAUUGUGGUGGUUGUGGACUGUGACUAUGACUUCCAAUUGUGGUGUUGGUGUGUGGACGUCACCAUGGUGGCGAUGAAAAUUGUAAUUAUGACCGUGACUCUCAAUUGGAUACAUGACCUGAAAAUUGUGUCUGUGACUCACAAUUGGAUACGUGAUCUAAAAAUUGUGAAUCGUAAGUGUUGGUAGUGGUCACAAAUUAUUUGGUUGAUUGUGACCAUUAAAUUGAUUAAUUUAUGACCAAUAAAUAAUAUGUGACCAAUGAAAAAGAUAAAUUGUAACCGAAAAAUAAUGUAUGACCUAAAAAAUUGUUAAUAGGUGAUUGAUAAUUUGAUAAUUUAUGACUGUAUAAUAAGCUGUGACUUGUAAUAUCUAUAAUUUGUGAACAAUAAAUGAAUCGUGACUUAGAAAUUUUUUGAUUUGUGACCGAUGAACAAACUAUAACCUAUAAAAUUUUUGAAUUGUGACCAUAAAAUAAUUUGUGACAUAAAAAUUCUGAUUUGUG